rnacentral:rRNA from 1 species
AUUGAACGCUGGCGGCAGGCCUAACACAUGCAAGUCGAGCGGAUGAAGGGAGCUUGCUCCUGGAUUCAGCGGCGGACGGGUGAGUAAUGCCUAGGAAUCUGCCUGGUAGUGGGGGAUAACGUCCGGAAACGGGCGCUAAUACCGCAUACGUCCUGAGGGAGAAAGUGGGGGAUCUUCGGACCUCACGCUAUCAGAUGAGCCUAGGUCGGAUUAGCUAGUUGGUGGGGUAAAGGCCUACCAAGGCGACGAUCCGUAACUGGUCUGAGAGGAUGAUCAGUCACACUGGAACUGAGACACGGUCCAGACUCCUACGGGAGGCAGCAGUGGGGAAUAUUGGACAAUGGGCGAAAGCCUGAUCCAGCCAUGCCGCGUGUGUGAAGUAGGUCUUCGGAUUGUAAAGCACUUUAAGUUGGGAGGAAGGGCAGUAAGUUAAUACCUUGCUGUUUUGACGUUACCAACAGAAUAAGCACCGGCUAACUUCGU